rnacentral:lncRNA from 1 species
CCGCAAUGAGUCCCAAAAGCGAGCCCAAGUUUUAGGAGGCCCAUUUCGUUCUAAACCCAUGAGCACCGCUUCUCCCCUGUCCAGCCCAGUUGGGAAAAGCCCAACCUACACUGGUUUAUAUGCAAAAGGGGCCACACAGGCUACGCACUUUGGCCAGCAGGUAGCGCCCAAACCCAUGGUCGCGAUUCAGCGGCCAGCGGUGGCCGCCAAGGCCGCGCCACCCUUCCAACGGCUUACCGAUGUUGAGCUGCAGUCGAAGAAAGAAAGGGGUUUAUGUUAUCACUGUGAUGAGAGGUUCUAUCCGGGUCACAAAUGUAAGAACAGGGAAUUGCAGGUGCUCUUUAUGCAAGAGGAGGAAAUUGAAGAACCAGUGGUGAUGGUCGAGGAAGAGUAAGAACAGCCGAUGGGGGAUACAAUGGAAUUAUCCAUUAAAUCUGUGGUCGGGCUGACAGCACCAAAAACCAUGAAGUUUUGUGGGGCGAUAUGUGGGAAAUCAGUGGUGGUACUCAUCGAUUGUGGGGCUACUCACAACUUCAUCUCGAGUGAGCUCGUUAAGGAUUUGGGUUUGCAAAUCACAGAGUUCGCCAACUACGGGGUUCUAAUGGGAACUGGGUUAUCUAUGAAAAGAGGGGAAAUUUGUAAGGGAGUAGUUGUUUCGCUGCCAAAUAUUGAUGUGGUUGAGGAUUUUUUGCCCCUGAAAUUAGGGUAUACAGGUGUAAAUCCUGGGAAUGAAGUGGUUGGAGACGUUGGGCAAGAUCCAAGUUAACUGGGGCACCUUAACCAUGCGUUUUAAAACGGGUGGAGGAGCUGUGUUGCUACAGGACGACCCCAGUUUGGAUAAGACACAAGUGUCUUUGAAGUCACUUGUUAAGUCUUUUAAGGAUGGGGAGCAAGGUAUCUUGCUGGAAUUGUGGAGUAUGGGGGUUGAGUCGGAGGAGACCAGGGCUGAGGUACACAGCUCUAUUAAAGAGUUGUUGCAACAUUACCGCAAGGUCUUUGACUGGCCUAACAAACUUCCACCGCCGCGAACAAGGGACCAUACAUUCUCUUACAACCCGGUGCAACUCCAGUGAACGUAAGGCCCUACCGGUACUUGUUUGUUUAGAAAAAUGAAAUUGAAAAGUUAUUUAAGGAGAUGCUGCAGGAAUCAUACAACCAAGUCUCAGUCCCUUCUUGAGCUCGGUUCUGUUGGUGAAGAAAAAAGAUGGUAGUUGGAGGUUUUGUGUCGACUAUCGAGCGCUUAACAAAGUUACGGUACCUGGCCAUUUUUCGAUCCCAGUAAUCGAUGAAUUAUUAGAUGAAUUACAUAGGGCUCGUGUAUUCUCCAAGUUAGACAUGAAGUCGGUCUACCACCAAAUCAGAUUGAGGCCGGAGGACAUCCCUAAGACUGCUUUCCGUACUCACGAGGGCCAUUAUGAAUUCUUGGUUAUGCCCUUCAGGUUAUCAAACGCACCGGCAACUUUUCAACAUCUAAUGAAUGAGGUGUUUCAGCCUUACUUGCGGAAGUUUGUCCUUGUCUUCUUUGACGGCAUUUUGGUCUACAGUUGAUUAAUUGAGGAGCACUACCAACACUUGGAGACAAUGAUGGAGGUUUUGUAGCAGCAUCAACUGUAUGCUGUUUGUUUGGACGACAAGAGGUGGAAUAUCCGGGCCAUGUGAUCUCUGAGACGAGGGUGGCAGCUGAUCAGUCAAAAUUAGAGGCAAUGGUUAAUUGGCCAAGCCCCAGUAACCUUAGGGAGCUUCGAGGAUUUUUGGGACUCACGGGCUAUUACAGGAGGUUUGUGGCAUGUUACGCUAAGUUGGCCUGGACCUUAACGGAGCUGCUCAAGAAGGACCGUUUCAGGUGCGAUGAUGAAAUAGAGGCAACUUUUCAGGUUCUUAAAUCAGCUAUGGUCUGUGUUCCAGUGCUGGCGUUACCAGAUUUCUCUAAGCAGUCAGUUGUUGAGACCGAUGCGUCUGGUCAGGGAUUAGGGGUAGUGUUGAUGCAGAACAGCCACCCCAUUGCAUAUUUCAGCAGGGUUCUACCUCAGAGCGCCAGGCAAAAGUCAGUUUACGAGAGAGAGUUGAUGGCAAUUGUGUUCGCUAUCCAAAGAUGGCGACAUUAUUUGUUAGGCAGGCGUUUUGUAGUCAGGACAGAUCAGCGGAGCGUGAAGUUUUUACUGGAACAACGUCUGGUGAGUGAAGAUCACCAAAAAUGGCUCACUAAACUUAUGGGUUACCAAUUUGACAUCCAUUACCACCCGGGACUGAAGAACAAGGCUGCGGAUGCUCUCUCUCGAUUGCAACCGUCAUUGAAUGCUAUGGCUUUAACAACUUCUAAGUUCCUUCAGUUGGAGGAGAUUAGGAAAGAGGUAGCAGCUGAUGGUGUGUUGGGAAAAUUAGUAACAGAGCUAUAGGCUGGCCACAAUUCGAAGGCGGGUUAUGCGUUGAUCAAUAACACUUUAUGUUAUCAUAGAAAGGUAGUGCUGCCCAGCCAAUCAGUUUUCGUCACCCUCAUGUUGCAGGAGUGCCACAAUUCUAAAGUUGGGGGACAUUCUAGUUUUCUCAAGACAUACAAACGAGUUGCCAGAGAAGUCUACUGGCAGGGAAUGAAAAAGAAGGUGAAGAAUUACGUGGCGAAAUGUGGAGUCUGUCAAUAGAAUAAAUAUGUUGCACUAUCUCUAGGGGGUGUCUUGCAGCCCUUGCCGAUCCCUGAGUUGAUUUGGCAGGACAUUUCAAUGGACUUCAUUGAGGGACUGUCGCGGUCGGGCGGAGUCGAUGCGAUUUUGGUUGUUGUGGACCGUCUGAGCAAAUACGGGCAUUUUGUAGGCCUGAAGCACCCUUUUACUGCCCCUACAGUUGCCGCGGUGUUUAUUCACGAGGUAGUUCGGCUACACGAUAUGCCUCACUCUAUUGUUUCAGAUAGGGAUCGAAUCUUUAUGAGUACUUUCUGGACCGCUCUUUUCAAGGCUCAGGAAACCGCCCUAAAGCAUAGUACUGCCUAUCAUCCUCAAACUGAUAGACAAACGGAGGUCGUCAACAGGUGUUUGGAAAUGUAUUUGCGCUGUUUUGCAUCAAGUAGACCACGUGUUUGGAGCUAAUAUUUACAUUGGGCCGAGUUUUGGUAUAAUACCUCUUUCCACACCGCAACUAAGCACACCCCUUUCCAGAUUGUGUAUUGUCGUGAGCCGCCCCAGAUUCUGGCCUUUGAGAAAGGCAUGAUAGCUAGCUCCUCUGUCGAAUAGCUAUUGCUUGACCGAGAUGAAGUUCUGAAGGAGCUGAAGGUGCAGCUCUCUAGGGCUCAGCUGAGGAUGAAGGAGAUUGCAAAUGAAUACCGCCGCGACGUUCAGUUUGCUGUUGGGGACUUAGUCUACCUCAAGCCCUGUCCAUAGCGCCAGAAGUCUGUGGCUAAGCGAUCAUUUGAGAAGCUAUCCCCGAGGUACUAUGGACCGUUUGAAGUGGAAUCAAAGAUCGGCCAGGUCGCAUACAAACUGAAACUUCCUCCAACUGCAGCCAUCCAUCCAGUUUUUCAUGUAUCUCAACUUCGUAAGGCCAUAGGCAUCCUGCAACCGGUUUCAUCUCUUCCACCCCAACUGUCAGCAGAUGGAGAGUUCAUUCUAGAACCGGAAUCUGUUCUUGGCGUUCGCCCUAAUCCUACCAACCCAGCUGGGAGCCCUGACAUCUUAAUCAAGUGGACAAAUUUGCCAGAAUUUGAGGCAACUUGGGAGCCUUUUGACACUAUCAGACUACAAUUCCCUAGCUUCCACCUUGAGGAUAAUGUGGAUUUCGGGUCGGCAGGUAGUGAUAGACCCCCGGUUCGGUUCACCUAUGCAAGAAGGAAGAUGGUUUCGCCAGGUCAGCAGAAAUCAGUUAGAUAAGGGUAAAAAUGUAAUAGUGUUGGAGCAGGGAAAUGUAAAUAAAUUGAAGGGAAGGGUAGGAAUAAGGGAUAUACUGACUUUCUGUUAGAAUGGGGAGGGGGAGAGAGACAGGGCCACUGUAAUAGCCCUGAUCUUGUAAUCAUUUUGGGUUAUCUUCAAUCUAUUGGACGACACUUCUUUUGCAUCUAAGUUUUUGUUUACUUUCUUCCAGUUUGGUUCUCAGGUACCUAUCAGUAUGCUUGUCAGGUCAGGACGAUCUUUUCAAAUUAGUCAUACCCCUACUGCAGGAUCUUUCCCACGUCAGUGCUGAACAUCGUUGUGCCAGAGAGCCAUUGCUUGGUGAAGUUAGGUCAACACAAUCUGCACCUCCGAAGACAAAAACCAUGUUGUGUGUGGUGACUCUUGUUGCAUA